UAGUUCAGUCAGUAAAGCAUCUGCCUGCAAUGCAGGAGACCUGGGUUCAAUUCCUAG
rnacentral:tRNA from 1 species